GGGCGGCGGCCGGAGGUGCGCGGGGGCGUUUUGGCGGGAACGGCGUGUGUGGGCGUUGUGUGAAGGACGGCCGGGCGCCUCGGGUCACUGGGUGCGGCUUUUCCUCGUGCCUUAGAUGUGUCGGUACAAGGGCCCAGGGAGUCCUGGAAGGCCUCGGUCACCCUGACAAAAGCAGGAAAAACAGAUGAACUGACUGCCAAUGCAAUUGCUAGCAGGAAAUAUUCCAUGAGCAUGAAAUUUCUUUAUCAGAGAUACUUGUUUGGACAACGACAAUAUUUCUCAGGAUAAAGAUGCUGACGCGAGAAACCAGGAUUACUUCUCCAUUUAUGGAUCAGCACAGAAAACCAGUACAAGAGGCAAAACCCAAGGAGUCUCGCCAGUUAUUCUUACUAAGAAAAGCAGUAGACCCAAUAAAGAUAAACCUACCUCUCUGUGAGACUUCUUGUACCAAGCAUUAUAAUAGGUACUGAGCCACUGAACUCUUUUACUAUU